AACGAACGCUGGCGGCAUGCCUAACACAUGCAAGUCGAACGAUGCUUUCGGGCAUAGUGGCGCACGGGUGCGUAACGCGUGGGAAUCUGCCCUUAGGUUCGGAAUAACAGUUAGAAAUGACUGCUAAUACCGGAUGAUGACGUUAAGUCCAAAGAUUUAUCGCCUGAGGAUGAGCCCGCGUAGGAUUAGCUAGUUGGUGUGGUAAGAGCGCACCAAGGCGACGCUCCUUAGCUGGUCUGAGAGGAUGAUCAGCCACACUGGGACUGAGACACGGCCCAGACUCCUACGGGAGGCAGCAGUGGGGAAUAUUGGACAAUGGGCGCAAGCCUGAUCCAGCAAUGCCGCGUGAGUGAUGAAGGCCUUAGGGUUGUAAAGCUCUUUUACCCGUGAUGAUAAUGACAGUAGCGGGAGAAUAAGCCCCGGCUAACUCCGUGCCAGCAGCCGCCGUAA
rnacentral:rRNA from 1 species